GGAAAAAGAAGAGAGAGAGAGAGAGAGAGAGAGAGAGAGAGAGAAAGAUAAAUGAAUCAAUCAGUGAAUCAAUCCCCUGAUACAGAUUAACUGAGUGAUAAUCGAAGGCAGGGAGGCUGUGGCUGGAGGAGGUAGGCAGUGGGGCGGUGUGGCUUUAGUUAAGUGGAGUCUCUCUCUCUCUCUCUCUCAUUCCUCUCUCUCUCUCUGCUUUCUUUUCAUC
rnacentral:miRNA from 1 species